UACGGAGGAUCCAAGCGUUAUCCGGAAUCAUUGGGUUUAAAGGGUGCGUAGGCGGCGAGGUUAGUCGGAUGUGAAAUCCCAGGGCUCAACCCUGGAACUGCAUUCGAUACUGCCUUGCUAGAGUACUGGAGAGGAGACUGGAAUUUACGGUGUAGCAGUGAAAUGCGUAGAUAUCGUAAGGAAGACCAGUGGCGAAGGCGAGUCUCUGGACAGUUACUGACGCUGAGGCACGAAGGCCAGGGGAGCAAACGGG
rnacentral:rRNA from 1 species